GACGAACGCUGGCGGCGUGCUUAACACAUGCAAGUCGAACGAAGAGCGAUGGAAGCUUGCUUCUAUCAAUCUUAGUGGCGAACGGGUGAGUAACGCGUAAUCAACCUGCCCUUCAGAGGGGGACAACAGUUGGAAACGACUGCUAAUACCGCAUACGAUCUAACCUCGGCAUCGAGGAAAGAUGAAAGGUGGCCUCUAUGUAUAAGCUAUCACUGAAGGAGGGGAUUGCGUCUGAUUAGCUAGUUGGAGGGGUAACGGCCCACCAAGACGAUGAUCAGUAGCCGGUCUGAGAGGAUGAACGGCCACAUUGGGACUGAGACACGGCCCAGACUCCUACGGGAGGCAGCAGUGGGGAAUCUUCCGCAAUGGACGAAAGUCUGACGGAGCAACGCCGCGUGAGUGAUGACGGCCUUCGGGUUGUAAAGCUCUGUUAAUCGGGACGAAAGGCCUUCUUGCGAAUAGUGAGAAGGAUUGACGGUACCGGAAUAGAAAGCCACGGCUAACUACGUG
rnacentral:rRNA from 1 species